AAUCCAGCGUAGAGUUGCUCUUUAAAAAAUCCAGCGCAGACCUCUCCCUCAUCCCCUUCUCUCUCGCCCCUUCUCCGAUUUGGCUUUCCUCUACUGACCAAGUGCUGCCUAUGGGAGCUGUUCCGGCAACGGUGGAUGGAUGUCUAUGUCUAGCUAGCUCUGCCUGUUGUCAGAAAGAUCCACUCAAUCAAUUGGACAUCCUGCUUCAAGAGUCGUGGCUUUUUGUGAAAGCUGCAAAUCAAGAUUCAUGACGGCCACCCUGCUCAUGGGCGAUGCGUGAUUGUGCGCACUCGGAUGGAUCUGGCUCUUCCUUACAAGUUACAUUGCCACCAGAUAGGGAAAUAUCGAUGUGAAGCUAUUAACGGGUGACCAGUGUCAUUUUGGCUGACAUGCAUAAGCGUCGUCACCUAUUUUGCUGUUAACUCUUUGAAGGGAUAUAAUGUCUACAGGCUUGAGAAAAAAUGGGCAAACAAGAUAACCCCAAAACUCUCUUCACCUGACCGAAAUGAAGAGGACAUUUUCGGUCAUGUGGAACUAUGGUAGUGAUAAAAAAAGAGCACAUGCUUGCGGGCUGUACUGAAGCACAAGUAGAAACAAUCAUCCUCACAUUAGAAUCACUCAACAGCAAUGCAGACCUCGCAUUAGAAUCACUCAACAGAAAUGCAGAGAUAUUGUGAAUUGUAAUUGUCAGGCUGUAGUAGCUUUGUUAAAUAAAAACACUUUGAUCCUAAAUUUCAACCAGGUAUGAUUUGGAUCUGCUAUAAUAUACGUUAGAGAAGUGCCAUGUGAUGUUAAAUUCACUGCUCCGAAUGCAAGAUCUCUCAAAGAAUGUGUAAUGAGAAUGUAAGUCCACUUUCCUAGAGAACCUUUGACUACUAAAUGCCUAUUUCAGAAGGAAACUCUGAUGUAUAUCAUGCAGCAUUUUUUUUAUGCGAAUCUUGUAACACUCUUUUUGUAACAAUAUAAUAAAGCUAGAGAAAAGGAGCAGGAUUUAGUUA